CACGCUGCCCUCACUGCCCUGACGUGCCCAGACGUGCCCUGCUCGCUAAGCUGCUGGAGACGGCCACUACUAGUCUUGUUAAACCGAAGAAGACCCGAGGGAGUGAACAACUGGUCCGAGAUGCCUCGUAAGGAGAGGAGGUUAAAACAAAAACAAAAGGAGCUGCGUGAGGCUGCGAAAGGCAGUGGAUCACUCACCAGUUGGAUGACAAAGAGCACAAAAGUUCAAGCAGUCAGCCUUGGCUGCAGCCUCUCUCAGCAAGUAGUCUCCUCCAAACUAUCAGCAGUAUGGCAGUGUCUACACUAUGAGAUCAAUACAGCCCACCUCCAGCAAUAUCAGCAGCAGCAGCCUCCUCACCAACCCCCCCAACAGAAGCUGUUCAAUGUACCCAUGAG
ensembl:lncRNA